AACGAACGCUGGCGGCAUGCCUAACACAUGCAAGUCGAACGAGACCUUCGGGUCUAGUGGCGCACGGGUGCGUAACGCGUGGGAAUCUGCCCUUUGCUUCGGAAUAACAGUUAGAAAUGACUGCUAAUACCGGAUGAUGUCGAAAGACCAAAGAUUUAUCGGCAAAGGAUGAGCCCGCGUAGGAUUAGGUAGUUGGUGGGGUAAAGGCCUACCAAGCCGACGAUCCUUAGCUGGUCUGAGAGGAUGAUCAGCCACACUGGGACUGAGACACGGCCCAGACUCCUACGGGAGGCAGCAGUGGGGAAUAUUGGACAAUGGGCGAAAGCCUGAUCCAGCAAUGCCGCGUGAGUGAUGAAGGCCUUAGGGUUGUAAAGCUCUUUUACCAGGGAUGAUAAUGACAGUACCUGGAGAAUAAGCUCCGGCUAACUCCGUGCCAGCCGCCGCAGUAAUAC
rnacentral:rRNA from 1 species